rnacentral:rRNA from 1 species
UACGGAGGGGGCUAGCGUUGUUCGGAAUUAUUGGGCGUAAAGAGCGUGUAGGCGGCCAGAUAAGUCCGCUGUGAAAUCUCGAGGCUCAACUUCGAGCUGUCGGUGGAAACUAUCUGGCUAGAGUCCGGUAGGGGAGACUGGAAUUCCUGGUGUAGCGGUGAAAUGCGCAGAUAUCAGGAGGAACACCAGCGGCGAAGGCGGCGCUCUGGGCCGGUACUGACGCUGAGGAGCGAAAGCGUGGGGAGCGAACAGG